rnacentral:lncRNA from 1 species
AGGGAUUCAGCAGCCACAGUGUGUCUAAACUGAUUGCUUACCACCAGAAUCAUCUGUGUUUUGGGCAUCUUUGAUAUCUCUACAGCUCGUCCCUCACAGCAACAUCUGAGCUUUGAGUUCCCAACAAAGAUAGUGCUGCUGGUCCUGCCUGCUGUGCAAAUACAUGGAUGAGGAAAGCUCCUGUCUCUGGCAUGUUUGCAGUCUUCUAGAUGUAAUCAGAAGAAGUGCCCCUAAGAUCUUCUAUCAACCCUAUCAAUCAAAUGAAUCAUCGAGUCAGAGAUACGGUGUCUUCCAUGGCAAGUUCUGUGGAAGGCCAUUGUGGACACACUGCACAGUAUUUUCACCUUAAAACGAAUCAAGCCAAUGGCAUGCACAGAUGGGUCAACUCUUGUCUGCCUUGAAGAAAUGGGAGUGACAGCAGCUGUAAGUGAACCAUUCUAAACUCUUAAUACUCAUUUUUGUAAUCGAACUUGAGCUAUCAGGCAGAUGCAAGUAACAUACUUUAGUGACUUGGCUCGCAAAUAGAGCCCACAACAUUUAUGAGGACUUAAGAGCUUAUUACAUGGCCAUCAGCACUCUCAUUCAGAUAAUGGAGGGUCAUAGGAGUGAAAACAGAUCUUUUGGAAUUACUUUCAUGAUGGGUGCUGCAUGGGCUGGAAUGGUUUGGGGUUAUUUCUUUGCCAAACUCUCCACAUAGCUAAUUGAACCCAGAAACACGGGGGAUCACUUUGAGAAGGACACG